rnacentral:rRNA from 1 species
UCUGGUUGAUCCUGCCAGUAGUCAUAUGCUUGUCUCAAAGAUUAAGCCAUGCAUGUCCAAGUAUAAGCUUGUAUACGGUGAAACUGCGAAUGGCUCAUUAUAUCGGUUAUGACCUAUUUGGUGGUACCUUACUACAUGGAUAACCGUGGUAAUUCUAGAGCUAAUACAUGCGGGGGGCGCGCGAGUGCCCCUGUGUUUAUUAGGUUAAGCCGGCGGCGGCGUGAGAGGUUAACGCCUACCGCGCCGCGGGGUGAUUCAUGAUAACCUGCGGAUCGCACGGCCUCGAGCUGGCGACGCGCCAUUUGGGUUUCUGGCCUAUCAGCUGGGACGGUAGGAUAGGGGCCUACCGUGGCGGUGACGGGUGACGGGGGAUUAGGGUUCGAUUCCGGAGAGGGAGCCUGAGAAACGGCUACCACAUCCAAGGAAGGCAGCAGGCGCGGAAAUUACCCAAUCCCGACACGGGGAGGUAGUGACGAAAAAUAGCGAUGCGGGGCCUAUGGUUUCUGCAAUUGGAAUGGGUGCGGUGGAAAGAGCCGCGCGAGGAACGAUUGGAGGGCAAGUCUGGUGCCAGCAGCCGCGGUAAUUCCAGCUCCAAUAGCGUAUAUUAAAGUUGCUGCAGUUAAAAAGCUCGUAGUUGAAGUUUGGGGCGCGGGGGGGGCCGAGUUUUCGGUCUGUCCGGCGCCCUUUCCUGGGGCGGGGGGUGGGCACGCUCACCCGCCACACCAGAAGCUACCUUGAGAAAAAGAGAGUGUUCAAGGCGGGCGCACGCUUGGAUACGCUAGCAUGGAAUAGCGGGGCAGGGCCGCGGGCCUGUUUCGCUGGUUUGGGGCCGGGGGCCACGGUGAAGAGGGACAGUUGGGGGCAUUAGUAUUCUGGAGCUAGAGGUGAAAUUCUUAGAUUUCCAGAGGACUGCCGAGCGCGAAAGCAUCUGCCAAGGAUGUUUUCAUUGAUCAAGAACGAAAGUUAGGGGAUCGAAGACGAUCAGAUACCGUCGUAGUCUUAACUGUAAACGAUGCCGACUGGGGACUGUGCGGGGGCGGCCCUGUGCGGGACCCUGGGAGAAAUCAAAGUGUAUGGGUUCUGGGGGGAGUAUGGUCGCAAGGCUGAAACUUGAAGGAAUUGACGGAAGGGCACCACCAGGAGUGGAGCCUGCGGCUUAAUUUGACUCAACACGGGAAAACUCACCAGGUCCGGACAUGGGGAGGAUUGACAGAUUGAGAGCGCUUUCAUGAUUCUAUGGGUGGUGGUGCAUGGCCGUUCUUAGUUGGUGGAGUGGUUUGUCUGGUUAAUUCCGAUAACGAGCGAGACCUUGGCUGUGUGGUGGCGCGGGGGGGUCUCUCUCCGUGCGCCCUCGCAGGACAGUCUGCGGAAAGCGGACGGAGGCGCGAGGCAAUAACAGGUCUGUGAUGCCCUUUGAUGUUCUGGGCCGCACGCGCGCUACACUGGCACACGCAGCGGGUGCCGACGCCGGAAGGCGGGGGAAAGCCUGAAAGUGUGUCGUGAUGGGGACUGACCACUGCAAUUACUGGUCACGAACGAGGAAUUCCUAGUAAGCGCGGGUCAUCAGCCUGCGCUGACUGCGUCCCUGCCCUUUGUACACACCGCCCGUCGAUACUACCGAUUGGGCUGUCUGGUGAGGCGGAUCGGGGUGCGAUGGGGAGACCUGUCGCGGCGAAGCUCUCCGAACCUGGCAGUCUAGAGGAAGUAAAAGUCGUAACAAGGUUUCCGUAGGUGAACCUGCGGAAG